GGGAGGCGGCGUGCUAAUACAUGCAAGUCGAGCGAACUGAUUAGAAGCUUGCUUCUAUGACGUUAGCGGCGGACGGGUGAGUAACACGUGGGCAACCUGCCUGUAAGACUGGGAUAACUUCGGGAAACCGAAGCUAAUACCGGAUAGGAUCUUCUCCUUCAUGGGAGAUGAUUGAAAGAUGGUUUCGGCUAUCACUUACAGAUGGGCCCGCGGUGCAUUAGCUAGUUGGUGAGGUAACGGCUCACCAAGGCAACGAUGCAUAGCCGACCUGAGAGGGUGAUCGGCCACACUGGGACUGAGACACGGCCCAGACUCCUACGGGAGGCAGCAGUAGGGAAUCUUCCGCAAUGGACGAAAGUCUGACGGAGCAACGCCGCGUGAGUGAUGAAGGCUUUCGGGUCGUAAAACUCUGUUGUUAGGGAAGAACAAGUACAAGAGUAACUGCUUGUACCUUGACGGUACCUAACCAGAAAGCCACGGCUAACUACGUGCCAGCAGCCGCGGUAAUACGUAGGUGGCAAGCGUUAUCCGGAAUUAUUGGGCGUAAAGCGCGCGCAGGCGGUUUCUUAAGUCUGAUGUGAAAGCCCACGGCUCAACCGUGGAGGGUCAUUGGAAACUGGGGAACUUGAGUGCAGAAGAGAAAAGCGGAAUUCCACGUGUAGCGGUGAAAUGCGUAGAGAUGUGGAGGAACACCAGUGGCGAAGGCGGCUUUUUGGUCUGUAACUGACGCUGAGGCGCGAAAGCUGACCACGC
rnacentral:rRNA from 2 species